CAUUACUUUUUCAAGAAAUAUUGUUGCUUUUACGUAUUUACGCAUUGUAAUGGUAUAUUAAGGAUAUAUUAGGAAUAGUAUAUAUUAAGAAUAGUAUGGUUUGAAUCAACUGUACUGAUUAACGUAGUUCAAUUGAGCACCUCUAUACGGAAGUGACAGGAGUUGCGAUUGGUAGGGUAGCGUUAUUUUAUUACGUGUCAUGUACGCAAAUCUGCAUUUCUCGAUUGCUUGAGAAUCUUGAAACGGGCUUUCGAAGUUCUUUAAUAUUUGAUUAUCUUAAUUAUUAAAGCAAGAAGAUGCGUCAAUUGAAGGGCAAGACAAAAGAAACGAAUAAACAGAAGAAAGAGAG